rnacentral:rRNA from 1 species
UACAGAGGGUGCGAGCGUUAAUCGGAAUUACUGGGCGUAAAGGGCGCGUAGGCGGUUUUAUGGGUGUGAUGUGAAAGCCCCGGGCUUAACCUGGGAAGAGCAUCGCAAACUAUGGAACUGGAGUAUAUGAGAGGGUGGCGGAAUUUCCGGUGUAGCGGUGAAAUGCGUAGAGAUCGGAAGGAACGUCGAUGGCGAAGGCAGCCACCUGGCAUAAUACUGACGCUGAGGCGCGAAAGCGUGGGGAGCGAACAGG